rnacentral:rRNA from 1 species
ACGAAGGGUGCGAGCGUUAAUCGGAAUUACUGGGCGUAAAGCGUGCGCAGGCGGUCUGUUAAGACCGAUGUGAAAUCCCCGGGCUUAACCUGGGAACUGCAUUGGUGACUGGCAGGCUUUGAGUGUGGCAGAGGGAGGUAGAAUUCCACGUGUAGCAGUGAAAUGCGUAGAGAUGUGGAGGAAUACCGAUGGCGAAGGCAGGUCUCUGGGCCAUUACUGACACUGAGAAGCGAAAGCAUGGGGAGCGAACAGGA